rnacentral:sRNA from 1 species
GUGUUGCGUGAGGGAUUGUAGUGAAAAUCCUUUUCUUUUUUUCUUUAGAAAAAGAAAAGAUUGUAACGAAAAGCCCGACCCCGC